UGCGUGUAAUUUAAAAAAAAUAUUAAGCUGUGACCUUGACAAUAGGAGCCUCCUCACACAG
rnacentral:tRNA from 1 species